CGGAGGAUCCAAGCGUUACCCGGAAUCAUUGGGUUUAAAGGGUCCGUAGGCGGUUUGAUAAGUCAGUGGUGAAAGCCCAUCGCUCAACGAUGGAACGGCCAUUGAUACUGUCAGACUUGAAUUACUGGGAAGUAACUAGAAUAUGUAGUGUAGCGGUGAAAUGCUUAGAUAUUACAUGGAAUACCAAUUGCGAAGGCAGGUUACUACCAGUGGAUUGACGCUGAUGGACGAAAGCGUGGGGAGCGAACAGGAUUAGAUACCCUGGUAGUCCACGCCGUAAACGAUGGAUACUAGCUGUUCGGAGCAAUCUGAGUGGCUAAGCGAAAGUGAUAAGUAUCCCACCUGGGGAGUACGUUCGCAAGAAUG
rnacentral:rRNA from 1 species